rnacentral:tRNA from 1 species
CUCAGACAGUAAAGAAUCUGCCUGCAAUGCAGAAGACCCAGGUUCAAUCCCUGGGUCUGAAA